AAGUUCUCCUUGUACAACUCACUCCGUAUUUUAAACUAUUCUUUUUUUAAUUUAUUUAUUUAAUUACCACUAAGUAGUCCUUAGUGGUUUUAUUUUAUCAUAAUAAAUACUGUACAUAAGGGAAAAAGAAAAAUCAUUAACAAAAAGUAAAUAGUAAAGCACUUAGAGUCACGUUUCUAAUUCUCAUUUCAGACAUCGACAAAACUAAGCCCUAGAUUCUCUCAAGUCUCGAACUUUUCACUGCCAUUGAAGCUUCAUCGGAGAAGAUUCAAGACCAACCAUUGAUUCCCAGGCUAUUUCAAAGCUUAUCUCGUCAUGAUUCAGAUUACGUCCAUCUUCAACGGUAAAAAUUCAUCUUUUUGGGUUUGAUUUCACUUUUCUCGAACAUGUUAAACUUUCACCUUGUGCUGUGAAAAUCAUAGCCACAGAGUAACAAACUCUUGAGAAGAUGAUUUUGAAGCGAUUGAAGAAUGAGUUAGAUCCGAUUUCCACGAGUUCAAGCUAUCUGCGCAGAUUCGGUUCCAUCUUUAUUUACGAGCUUGGAGGGAUAAACGUUGAGUGUCCAAGGAGACUGAAAGGUAGGCAGGAAGAUGGAUCAGACCCGUAGGUGCUUUUUCAGCGGAUUCUUAGGAGCACUCCACUUACUUCGGAGCUGCAGUCUAUUUGAGUACGUGACAGGUCAACUUUCUCUCCUUGUGGGUGAUUUCUCGAGGCUUUACUGACGAGCAUCUAGGGUGAGCACAUGGACGGAUCCACAGCCCGGAUGCCUUUACUUAUCUACUUGUCUUAUUUUGAUAUUCUGAGACAGUAUUCCAUUUUCAGACUUGUAUUCAUAUUUAGACUUAUAGUAUUUGUAGCAGCGGCUCUUGUAAGAACUUAGACUAGAUUCCUUGGGAUUGUUGUAUUAUUUUCUCACGUUGCCCGAUUUGGGAUGUGACAACGUGGCCUAAGAAUACCACUGAAUCAAGAAAGAACUCACACUUAGAAAACUUGGAAUAAAGCUCCUUCUCCUUCAAUAAUCCAAGGACAAUCCU